GAUGAACGGUAGCUACAGGCUUAACACAUGCAAGUCGAGGGGUAACGAGAGGAAAGCUUGCUUUCCUUGUCGACGACCGGCGCACGGGUGAGUAACGCGUAUCCAACCUGCCCCCAACUAGGGAAUAACCUUGCGAAAGUAAGACUAAUACCCUAUAAUUUCCUCAGAUGUCAUCUGACGAGGAAUAAAGAUUUAUCGGUUGUGGAUGGGGAUGCGUCUGAUUAGCUUGUUGGCGGGGUAACGGCCCACCAAGGCAACGAUCAGUAGGGGUUCUGAGAGGAAAGUCCCCCACAUUGGAACUGAGACACGGUCCAAACUCCUACGGGAGGCAGCAGUGAGGAAUAUUGGUCAAUGGGCGGAAGCCUGAACCAGCCAAGUAGCGUGCAGGAUGACGGCCCUAUGGGUUGUAAACUGCUUUUAUACAGGAAUAAAGUUAGCCACGUGUGGUUAUUUGUAGGUACUGUAUGAAUAAGGACCGGCUAAUUCCGUGCCAGCCGCCGCGGUAA
rnacentral:rRNA from 1 species